GAUGAACGCUAGCUACAGGCUUAACACAUGCAAGUCGAGGGGAAACGACAUCGAAAGCUUGCUUUUGAUGGGCGUCGACCGGCGCACGGGUGAGUAACGCGUAUCCAACCUGCCCAUCACUUGGGAAUAACCUUGCGAAAGUAAGACUAAUACCCAAUGACAUCCCACGAAGACAUCUGAAUGGGAUUAAAGAUUUAUCGGUGAUGGAUGGGGAUGCGUCUGAUUAGCUUGUUGGCGGGGUAACGGCCCACCAAGGCAACGAUCAGUAGGGGUUCUGAGAGGAAGGUCCCUCACAGUGGAACUGAGACACGGUCCAAACUCCUACGGGAGGCAGCAGUGAGGAAUAUUGGUCAAUGGGCGAGAGCCUGAACCAGCCAAGUAGCGUGCAGGAUGACGGCCCUAUGGGUUGUAAACUGCGUUUAUAAGGGAAUAAAGUGGGUCUCGUGAGACUUUUUGCAUGUACCUUAUGAAUAAGGACCGGCUAAUUCCGUG
rnacentral:rRNA from 1 species